CGGACAUAUGAAUUCACUGCUGGAUCAAGGUGGAGAAACUGGCAAUGAAAGUAUUCUGAUUCAAACACUUAUCUGAAAUUUGAAAGGUAGUACAGUGGGCCCAACGGAAGUGUGAACUGACAGAGGACCGGCAGACAGGAACUUCUGAACUGCAAACCUACACAGUGACAGUGAUUCCCGCUUUGGCCUUGGUUCAGUGAAAUCUUUCUUCCUCAGUUUCCUCCCAUAUAACUCACAGAGUACUCCCAGUCAUCUCAGCGAGAACUGAGCAUGCUCCCCACUUUAGAGGCUCAAACCUAUUCAUCAAAGAAUGUCCCGUUUGCUGUCACUGCUUGAGUUAAGCUUGCAGCCUAGGUAGGUCACUGGUUUCCAUGGUACUUGAACCCACCUGCAGUGAAAAUUCUGGUCGUCCAGCUCUAAGGUUCUGGUCCUUGGACUUCUAAUACCAGAUGUUCAACCCCAGCGACUUGGAGAGUGGGGCUGAAUUGUUCUGACGUCUCCACAAACAGGAUAUUGUCA